GAAACUUAAGGAAUUGACGGGGCCGCACAAGCGGUGGAGCAUGUGGUUAAUUCGACGCAACGCGAAGAACCUUACCAGGGCUUGACAUCCCCUGACCGCGUAUGAAAGUACGUUUUCACCCUCGGGUGACAGGGAGACAGGUGGUGCAUGGUUGUCGUCAGCUCGUGUCGUGAGAUGUUGGGUUAAGUCCCGCAACGAGCGCAACCCCUACGUUUAGUUGCUAACGCGUGAAGGCGAGCACUCUAGACGAACUGCCGUUGACAAAACGGAGGAAGGUGGGAUGACGUCAAAUCAUCAUGCCCCUUAUGUUCUGGGCUACACACGUGCUACAAUGGCCGGUACAGACGGACGCAAAGCCGCGAGGUGGAGCAAAUCCUAAAAAGCCGGUCUCAGUUCGGAUUGCAGGCUGCAAUUCGCCUGCAUGAAGUCGGAAUCGCUAGUAAUCGCAGGUCAGCAUACUGCGGUGAAUACGUUCCCGGGCCUU
rnacentral:rRNA from 1 species